AGUGAACGCUGGCGGCGUGCUUAACACAUGCAAGUCGAACGAGAACGGAAUAUAGCUUGCUAUAUUUGUCAGCUAAGUGGCGCACGGGUGAGUAAUGUAUAGAUAACCUGCCCUUAAGAAAGGAAUAACAGUUGGAAACGACUGCUAAUGCCCUAUAUGCCUUUAAUACAUAAGUAUGCAAGGGAAACGCUUUAGUGCUUAAGGAUGGGUCUGUAUGGUAUCAGCUUGUUGGUGAGGUAAUGGCUCACCAAGGCUAUGACGCCUAACUGGUUUGAGAGGAUGAUCAGUCACACUGGAACUGAGACACGGUCCAGACUCCUACGGGAGGCAGCAGUGGGGAAUAUUGCACAAUGGACGAAAGUCUGAUGCAGCAACGCCGCGUGGAGGAUGACACAUUUCGGUGCGUAAACUCCUUUUAUAUAGGAAGAUAAAGACGGUACUAUAUGAAUAAGCACCGGCUAACUCCGUGCCAGCAGCCGCCGUAAUAC
rnacentral:rRNA from 1 species